UGAGGAAUAUUGGUCAAUGGGCGAGAGCCUGAACCAGCCAAGUAGCGUGCAGGAUGACGGCCCUAUGGGUUGUAAACUGCUUUUAUGUGGGGAUAAAGUGCGUGACGUGUCAUGCAUUGCAGGUACCACAUGAAUAAGGACCGGCUAAUUCCGUGCCAGCAGCCGCGGUAAUACGGAAGGUCCGGGCGUUAUCCGGACUUAUUGGGUUUAAAGGGAGCGUAGGCUGUCUAUUAAGCGUGUUGUGAAAUUUACCGGCUCAACCGGUGGCUUGCAGCGCGAACUGGUCGACUUGAGUAUGCAGGAAGUAGGCGGAAUUCAUGGUGUAGCGGUGAAAUGCUUAGAUAUCAUGACGAACUCCGAUUGCGCAGGCAGCUUACUGUAGCAUAACUGACGCUGAUGCUCGAAAGUGCGGGUAUCAAACAGG
rnacentral:rRNA from 1 species